GGAGAUUCAGUGGUAGAAUUCAUGCCUCACAAGCAUGAGGCCCUGGGUUCAAUUCCUCAGCACCA
rnacentral:tRNA from 1 species